CUUGACAGAGAUCCUCGAUAGGCUACACCAGCUGUCUCUCUCCUGAUAUUGGCUUUGAUCCAUGUACACCCCUCUGAAAAGGUACCUUGGCGAGGAAAGGGAACAACUGCAAAUGCAAUCACCAAGAGAGACAGGAAGUGAUAUCAUCCUUAAGCAAGAUGGCUGCCAGCUCUACGAAGACAACAAUUGUGACAGAAUCACCCACCACCAAAGGACCAAGCAGCAGAGGAAGGAGCAGACGGAGUUCGAGUUGGACUGGCGGGAGAAGUGGACUUGGGAGGAAGUUCUGGACGGGGCCGGACCCUGGCAUCAGGCUGGGGAUUAUCGACGCCCGCAGUGGG
rnacentral:lncRNA from 1 species